rnacentral:rRNA from 1 species
UCCCCAGACUCCUACGGGAGGCAGCAGUGGGGAAUAUUGCACAAUGGGGGAAACCCUGAUGCAGCGACGCCGCGUGAGCGAAGAAGUACCUCGGUAUGUAAAGCUCUAUCAGCAGGGAAGAAGAUGACGGUACCUGACCAAGAAGCUCCGGCUAAAUACGUGCCAGCAGCCGCGGUAAUACGUAUGGAGCAAGCGUUAUCCGGAUUUACUGGGUGUAAAGGGAGCGCAGGCGGCCUUGCAAGUCUGAUGUGAAAGGCCGGGGCCCAACCCCGGGACUGCUCUUGGAACUGCAUGGCUGGAGUACAGGAGGGGCAGGCGGAAUUCCUAGUGUAGCGGUGAAAUGCGUAGAUAUUAGGAGGAACACCGGUGGCGAAGGCGGCCUGCUGGACUGUGACUGACGUUGAGGCCCGAAGGCGUGGGGAGCAAACAGGAUUAGAUACCCGUGUA